ACGAACGCUGGCGGCGUGCCUAACACAUGCAAGUCGAACGGGAUCCACGCCAUGAAGUUUUCGGAUGGAUUGGUGUGGUGAGAGUGGCGAACGGGUGAGUAACGCGUAGGUAAUCUAUCUUCAAGCGGGGGACAGCCCUGGGAAACCGGGAUUAAUACCGCAUGUGGUGUAUAAUUUGUGUUAUAUAUUAAAGGUGGCCUCUAUUUAUAAGCUACUGUUUGAAGUUGAGCCUGCGUCCUAUUAGUUAGUUGGUGGGGUAACGGCCCACCAAGUCGACGAUCAGUAGCCGGACUGAGAGGUUGAACGGCCACAUUGGGACUGAGAUACGGCCCAGACUCCUACGGGAGGCAGCAGUGGGGAAUAUUGGGCAAUGGGGGAAACCCUGACCCAGCAACGCCGCGUGAAGGAAGAAGGCUUUCGGGUUGUAAACUUCUUUUACCAGGGACGAAGAAAGUGACGGUACCUGGAGAAAAAGCCACGGCUAACUACGUG
rnacentral:rRNA from 1 species